AUGGACAGUAACUUUGUUUCUAAUGAUUCAGCUCUUAAUAUCCUUUAUAAUAAACCGGUAAAUUCUUCCAUGUGUGCUAAGAUUGUGCAGCUUCUGGGACAGAAUGAGGUGGACUAUCACCAGAAGCAAGUGGUCAUCCUGAGCCAGGGUAGCUUCUACUGUGUCCUCACUUCAGAGCAGAAGGCCAAAGCCCUGAAGGGCCAGUUCAGCUUUGAUCACCUGGAUGCCUUUGACAAUGAACUCAUCUUCAAAACACUCAAAGAAAUCACCGAAGGGAAAACAGUCCAGAUCCCCGUGUAUGACUUUGUUUCCCACUCCCGGAAGCAGGAGGUUACUGCCUAUCCCACAGACAUGGUGCUCUUUGAAAGGAUCCUGGCCUUCUACUCCCAGAAGGUACGAGAACUGUUUCAGAUGAAGCCUUUUGUGGAUACAGAUGCGGACACGCAGCUCUCUCUCAGAGUGUUAAGGGACAUCAGUGAAAGAGGGAGGGACCUGGAACAGAUUUUAUCUCAGUACAUUACGUUCAUCAAGCCUGCCUUUGAGGAAUUCUGCUUGCCAACGAAGAAAUACGCUGUGAUCAUUCCUAGAGGUGCAAAUAAUCUAGUGGCCAUCAACCUCAUCAUGCAGCACAUCGGGACAUCUUGAAUGGAGGGCUCUCCAAACGGCAGACCAAUGGCUAUCUCAAUGGCCACACCCCUUCACACAAGAGGCAGGAGUCAGAGCCCAGUAGCCGGCUGCAUUGA